rnacentral:rRNA from 1 species
AUAUCAAUAAGCGGAGGAAAAGAAACUAACAAGGAUUCCCCUAGUAACGGCGAGUGAAGCGGGAAAAGCUCAAAUUUUAAAUCUGGUGGUCUCCGGCCGCCCGAGUUGUAAUCUAGAGAAGUGUUAUCUGUGUCGGACCGCAUGUAAGUCUCCUGGAACGGAGCGUCAUAGAGGGUGAGAAUCCCGUCUGCAAUGCGGACUACCGGUGCUCUACGAUGCGCUCUCAAAGAGUCGAGUUGUUUGGGAAUGCAGCUCAAAACGGGAGGUAAAUUCCUUCUAAAGCUAAAUAUUGGCGAGAGACCGAUAGCGAACAAGUACCGUGAGGGAAAGAUGAAAAGCACUUUGGAAAGAGAGUCAAACAGUACGUGAAAUUGUUGAAAGGGAAACGCUUGAAGUCAGUCGCGUCUUCUGGGAUUCAGCCUUGCUUCUGCUUGGUGCAUUUCCUGGUUGACGGGUCAACAUCGAUUUCGACCGUCGGAUAAAGGUUUGAGGAAUGUGGCAUCUUCGGGUGUGUUAUAGCCUCUUAUCACAUACGUCGGCUGGGAUCGAGGAACUCAGCAUGCCUUUAUGGUCGGGGUUCGCCCACGUAACAUGCUUAGGAUGUUGGCAUAAUGGCUUUAAGCGA